GUUUGAUCUCCUUGCUGUUCAAGGGACUCUCAAGAAUCUUCUCUAGCACUAUAGUUCAAAAGUCUGAAUUCUUGAGCACUCAACCUUCUUCAUGGUCCAGCUCUCACAUGUAUACAUGACUCCUGGAAAAACCAUAGUUUAGACUAGAGAUUAAGCCUUAAUUCUAAACUAUGGCCACUCAAAGUGAUGUAAUGAAUUGUAUGAGUCACUCUACAGGUCAUUGUCUGUGGUCACCUGCUUCUGGAGAACCUGUCUUCUUGGGGAUACUCUCCUCUCUUUGCAUUUUUAACUUGUCUUCAGAUUGUAGCAUCACUUAAUAUUCUUAGUUUUCUAGUCUCUGUGCCUUUGAAUAGGAGGAAAGAGAGCUACAAUUGCAUCUUGAUUGAUCAGAACUUUAAAUUAUAGAAAUACUUGAGAUAAUUCAGUGAAGGGCAUACUGAAGAAGAAUUUAUUGUGAUGCAAUUAUGAAUAUUUAUAUGUUAAGAGUUUAGUACUAUCUUUGCCUUAUCAGAUAACAGUACUGUAGAAUUAUCUUAAAAUAAUUCAGGCUUAAAAAAGAGAGAAAGAAAUGUAUUCAGAACUUCCUCAGCCUGAUGGAGAAUUACUCCUCUCCUGUGAACAGAUGAGUCCUCUCCUGGCAGCCCCUUCCUAUAACCUCUUGUGAGUCCCUUGACACACGUGCCUUUUCUUAUGUGUACCAAGUGCUUUAUUCAGGGUUGAUUAAACAGCAGCAUCAUAGAUGCAGACUGUCAUUGUUGCCUUUGGUCUAGUUUGAAUAGUGAACAUGCAGCAGAAGAUGCUGUUAGUUGAAAGAAAAUAGCUCAGAAUGUCAAAAGGUUGGUCCCUCAAAAAUACUUUGAGAAAUGAGAAAAUGUAAAAUGUCACUUUAGGAAGCUGAGAUCAGCCAUGCUCUUCUCUAUUCUUAAGCUUAUUUUCACUGCAUUUGAUAAAUUUACUUUUGUCUCAUGGAGUGUUUAGGGGAAGUCAUUCUUUGUUUUAGAGGUGUUAAGUCAACAAUUACCUAUCAAAGCUUCUAAGACCCCAAACUGAGGUAUUUAGAAACACAGGUGCAUUAAAACAUUGUUUUUUAUUGUGCAUAUUUUGCUGAGGGUNNNNNUCAGUCACUAAGUUGUGUCUGACUCUCUGCGACCUCAUGAACUGCAGCACGCCAGACUUCCCUGUCCUUCACCAUCUCCCAGAAUUUGUUUAAACUUAUGUCCAUUGAGUCAGUGAUGCCAUCCAACCUUCUCACUCUCUGUUGCUCCCUACCUUCAGUCUUUUCCAGCAUCAGGGUCUUUUCCAGUGAGUUGGCUCUUCGCAU
rnacentral:lncRNA from 1 species